rnacentral:rRNA from 1 species
UACGUAGGUGGCGAGCGUUGUCCGGAUUUAUUGGGCGUAAAGCGCGUGUAGGCGGCUUUGCAAGUCGGGUGUGAAAGCCCUCGGCUCAACCGAGGAAGUGCGCCCGAAACUGCAGAGCUUGAGUACCGGAGAGGAUGGCGGAAUUCCCCAAGUAGAGGUGAAAUUCGUAGAUAUGGGGAGGAACACCGGUGGCGAAGGCGGCCAUCUGGACGGAUACUGACGCUGAGACGCGAAAGCGUGGGGAGCAAACAGG